rnacentral:rRNA from 1 species
GAUCAUGGCUCAGGAUGAACGCUGGCGGCGUGCUUAACACAUGCAAGUCGAACGGAGAGCUAAUGACAGAGGAUUCGUCCAAUGGAUUACGUUUCUUAGUGGCGGACGGGUGAGUAACGCGUGAGGAACCUGCCUCGGAGUGGGGAAUAACACAACGAAAGCUGUGCUAAUACCGCAUGAUGCAGCUGGGUCGUAUGACUCUGGCUGCCAAAGAUUUAUCGCU